rnacentral:tRNA from 1 species
GAGAGAUGAAACGCAAGAACUGCUAAUUCGUGCACCUGAAGCUAAAACCUCAGAUCUCUCA